rnacentral:rRNA from 1 species
UACGUAGGGGGCUAGCGUUGUCCGGAAUCAUUGGGCGUAAAGCGCGUGUAGGCGGUCCGGUAAGUCCGCUGUGAAAGUCGGGGGCUCAACCCUCGGAUGGCGGUGGAUACUGUUGGGCUUGAGUACGGAAGAGGCGAGUGGAAUUCCUGGUGUAGCGGUGAAAUGCGCAGAUAUCAGGAGGAACACCAAUGGCGAAGGCAGCUCGCUGGGACGUUACUGACGCUGAGACGCGAAAGCGUGGGGAGCAAACAGG